CCUACGGGAGGCAGCAGUCGAGAAUCAUUCACAAUGGGGGAAACCCUGAUGGUGCGACGCCGCGUGGGGGAAUGAAGGUCUUCGGAUUGUAAACCCCUGUCAUGUGGGAGCAAAUUAAAAAGAUAGUACCACAAGAGGAAGAGACGGCUAACUCUGUGCCAGCAGCCGCGGUAAUACAGAGGUCUCAAGCGUUGUUCGGAAUCACUGGGCGUAAAGCGUGCGUAGGCUGUUUCGUAAGUCGUGUGUGAAAGGCGCGGGCUCAACCCGCGGACGGCACAUGAUACUGCGAGACUAGAGUAAUGGAGGGGGAACCGGAAUUCUCGGUGUAGCAGUGAAAUGCGGAGAUAGCGAGAGGAACACUCGUGGCGAAGGCGGGUUCCUGGACAUUAACUGACGCUGAGGCACGAAGGCCAGGGGAGCGAAAGGGAUUAGAUACCCGUGUAGUC
rnacentral:rRNA from 1 species